CCCUUCUAAAUUUAUGCACUGACAUCCUAAACCCAGGUUGAUGGUAUUAGGAGUUGGGGCCUUGGGAGAGGAGGGGAGGAGGCAUGAGAGUGGAGCCCUUGUGAAAGCAGCUUGCUUUCUCUCUCUGCUCCACCAUGGGACGACACAGCAGCAUCUCUGUCCCUGAACCAGGAAGCCCUCACCAGAACCCACAUCCGGCAGCAAUUUGAUCUUGGACUCCAAGCCCCCAGAACUAGUCCUGGACACCUCCAUCAAAUAAAAGUUCUCUGCUGCCAAAGGAGUCCCGUAUUGAGGUACCCUUUCACAGAAGAGCAUGUGCUUAUGCCAGGGUGAAUUCCUUCCGAGUAGUUUCCACUUUCUCCUGGACGGCACCGUUGGACAUGUUCAAGCGUACAGAAAACAGUUCAGAACAACAUCCGUGACUGACGCGUUCGCCUGUUUAUCAUGCGCACUUUGAAAACGGUCAGACUGAAGGACCUCCUUCGCCCUCCCAGCUGCCCACCCUGCCCCACCUUCCACCCACCGCUGACAGACCUGUCCAAGUGAGUAUGACUGUGUUCAGUUUUGCGUUUCUCCCAACACGGCAAGAGGAAACAAGCUUAAGGAACAUAAAGACCUUUCUUGCUGGAUGUCCCUGGAGCUUGGUCUGAAGGCAGCUCGCUCCAGGGAUUCACUUGCAGGAUUUUCUGUCAUAAGGCACUGCGGGGAAAGCUUUUACAUCCAGAAAACAUGGCCAGAGGUUUUCUGCUCCGACCCUCAGACCCCCGUUUUUAGUGCUGAGUCUUUCUCUCUAGCUUCUUCACAUCUUGGCUUCCCCUCCCGGAGCUCUCUCUCCCCUCUGAGUGCCUGCCUACGUUGCAUCUUGGCCAGCUGUGACCAACUUCCAGGUGCAAGAAGCCUUGGGCCCAGCCAGAGGUCACCUGAUGCCAGUUAGCACCCAGUUCUCCACCCUCAGUGUAUUUGCCCCUCCCCCGCACUGUGCACAAAGGAAAAGGCACACACACACACAUGUUAUUAAAAUGAACUGUUUAUAUUAUCUCAGUUGAGUCAAUACAUUAUAAUGUAUUAAAAUGGAAAGGUACAAAAUUGAAAUAAAUACUUUCUGAUUCAUGUAUAAA